rnacentral:rRNA from 1 species
CCUACGGGAGGCAGCAGUGAGGAAUAUUGCACAAUGGAGGAAACUCUGAUGCAGCAACGCCGCGUGGAGGAUGACGCAUUUCGGUGUGUAAACUCCUUUUAGUAGGGAAGAUAAUGACGGUACCUACUGAAUAAGCACCGCCU